rnacentral:rRNA from 1 species
GAUGAACGCUGGCGGCGUGCCUAAUACAUGCAAGUCGAGCGAACGGACGAGAAGCUUGCUUCUCUGAUGUUAGCGGCGGACGGGUGAGUAACACGUGGAUAACCUACCUAUAAGACUGGGAUAACUUCGGGAAACCGGAGCUAAUACCGGAUAAUAUUUUGAACCGCAUGGUUCAAAAGUGAAAGACGGUCUUGCUGUCACUUAUAGAUGGAUCCGCGCUGCAUUAGCUAGUUGGUAAGGUAACGGCUUACCAAGGCAACGAUGCAUAGCCGACCUGAGAGGGUGAUCGGCCACACUGGAACUGAGACACGGUCCAGACUCCUACGGGAGGCAGCAGUAGGGAAUCUUCCGCAAUGGGCGAAAGCCUGACGGAGCAACGCCGCGUGAGUGAUGAAGGUCUUCGGAUCGUAAAACUCUGUUAUUAGGGAAGAACAUAUGUGUAAGUAACUGUGCACAUCUUGACGGUACCUAAUCAGAAAGCCACGGCUAACUACGUGCCAGCAGCCGCGGUAAUACGUAGGUGGCAAGCGUUAUCCGGAAUUAUUGGGCGUAAAGCGCGCGUAGGCGGUUUUUUAAGUCUGAUGUGAAAGCCCACGGCUCAACCGUGGAGGGUCAUUGGAAACUGGAAAACUUGAGUGCAGAAGAGGAAAGUGGAAUUCCAUGUGUAGCGGUGAAAUGCGCAGAGAUAUGGAGGAACACCAGUGGCGAAGGCGACUUUCUGGUCUGUAACUGACGCUGAUGUGCGAAAGCGUGGGGAUCAAACAGGAUUAGAUACCCUGGUAGUCCACGCCGUAAACGAUGAGUGCUAAGUGUUAGGGGGUUUCCGCCCCUUAGUGCUGCAGCUAACGCAUUAAGCACUCCGCCUGGGGAGUACGACCGCAAGGUUGAAACUCAAAGGAAUUGACGGGGACCCGCACAAGCGGUGGAGCAUGUGGUUUAAUUCGAAGCAACGCGAAGAACCUUACCAAAUCUUGACAUCCUUUGACAACUCUAGAGAUAGAGCCUUCCCCUUCGGGGGACAAAGUGACAGGUGGUGCAUGGUUGUCGUCAGCUCGUGUCGUGAGAUGUUGGAUUAAGUCCCGCAACGAGCGCAACCCUUAAGCUUAGUUGCCAUCAUUAAGUUGGGCACUCUAAGUUGACUGCCGGUGACAAACCGGAGGAAGGUGGGGAUGACGUCAAAUCAUCAUGCCCCUUAUGAUUUGGGCUACACACGUGCUACAAUGGACAAUACAAAGGGCAGCGAAACCGCGAGGUCAAGCAAAUCCCAUAAAGUUGUUCUCAGUUCGGAUUGUAGUCUGCAACUCGACUACAUGAAGCUGGAAUCGCUAGUAAUCGUAGAUCAGCAUGCUACGGUGAAUACGUUCCCGGGUCU